GAGUCCCACAUCUCUGCGUUUGAAUACUCAUUAACUUGUGUAUGUGAAAAAAAAAGAAAGAAAACAAAAAAACAAAAGCAUUUAGAUCCAUGUCAUGGCAGCUGAGACGAUGCAGACAAGGACUGAGCGGCUUCAUAACGUCUGCCUCGCCCUGACGGCCUACAAUCCUGUCCCGACACAGAACAGAGCUGAGUGCAGUCCGGGAUCUAGACGCGACCUGGAGGCUUUUACUGUCUCUGUUCCUGAACCUUAACAUCAGGAUCUUCCUGCACAUAUAGAGAGCCCCGGCAUGAAGCUUUUGGACGAGCUUAUGGCAAAGCUGGAGUUUGAGAACGAGUUAAACCGAGUGUGUAACAGUUUCUCUGUGAACGGGAACACACCGUCGGCACGAGGAGACAGCACAGGAAGUGAAGACAGCGGUGUGGAUGAAGGAGCUUCCGACGGAGAAGAGGACGAGAAGGACGUGAGUCUCAUGGACACGGUUCUGGACAUGGAGCAGGACUAUGAGCUUUUACCUUUAAUAUGACUUAAUAUUCAUUGAGGGAAGAUGCUUAUAAAUAUGUAUUAAUUUAUUUAUUUAUUUAUUUGAUGCACUAUAAAUAUAUUUUCUCUCAGUUGUGACCUCCUCCAUUAAUAGGUAGGCUGAUCAAAGAUGGGAAUAAUCUGAUGUUGAAACUUAUAUUGAUAUAUUUCACCUCCAAAACGUUUUGUUGCCUUCGGAGGAUACACGAGAGUCUUACAACCUUAUA